AUGGACGCGCCGGCCGCCUGCGAGAUCGAGCGCCUGCCGGAGGACCUCCUGAUGCACGUGAUAUCGCUCACGUCGCCGGCGGACGCCUUCCACGCCACCGCCGUGUCCCGGGCCUUCCACGCCGCCGCCGACUCAGACACCGUCUGGUCCCGCCUCCUGCCGCGCGACCUCCCGCAGUUCGCCAAGAGGGAGCUCCCCCGCAAGCCGCCGUCGACCAAGAAGGGGAUGUUCCGGCGCCUCUCCGACGAACCAGCCCUCCUCCCGGGCAAGUAUGUGCGCAUGCAGCUGGACAAGGCCACCGGUGCCAAGUGCUUCACGUUUUCGGCCAGCGCGCUACAGAUCACCCAAGCUAAUGAUGCACACACGCCCUUGAUACGUGUAGGUUCAGUGCCGGGCUACAGCAAAAGAGGCAAAAGGUUCUCACAAGCAGCUGACAUCGGCCAUGUUAACAUACUCGAGAUAUGUGCCAAGAUACAAAGAAACAUGCUCUCUCAAAACACAACCUACGUGGCAUACAUGGUGUUCAAGCUAGGACCCAGAUUUUACAGCUUCGAUUUCCCGUUUCAAGAAGCCUCAUUUGGCAUUGCUGGGAGCCAGUCGACUCGCCAGGUUUGCCUGCAAGGCUAUGUCGAGGACGGUGAUGGAGCCGAUGUUCCACCUCGGAAGCACAUCGUGCCAAGUUCUUAUCAUAUAUAUAAUCAUGACUCGGUUCCUCCUCAAAAGAACGUUGUUUUCCCACAUAAGAAAGCCGACGGUUGGAUGGAGGUGGAGCUUGGUGAGUUCCAUAAUGAGGGAGGUGACGGUGAGGUCUCCAUCAGCUUGACCGAGACAACAAAACCCAAGAGUGGCCUUAUUGUCUGGGGCAUUGUGAUAAGAAGUAAGCAACAAAAGAAAAAA
rnacentral:rRNA from 1 species